GAUGAACGCUGGCGGCGUGCUUAACACAUGCAAGUCGAGCGAGAAGUUUUGAAAAGAUUCUUCGGAUGAAAUUUAAAAUGGAAAGCGGCGGACGGGUGAGUAACGCGUAGGCAACCUGCCCCAUACAAAGGGAUAGCAUUUGGAAACGAAUAUUAAUACCUUAUGAAACUUAACUAGUGCAUGCUAGGUAGGUCAAAGAUUUAUCGGUAUGGGAUGGGCCUGCGUCUGAUUAGCUAGUUGGUGAGGUAACGGCUCACCAAGGCGACGAUCAGUAGCCGACCUGAGAGGGUGAACGGCCACAUUGGAACUGAGACACGGUCCAAACUCCUACGGGAGGCAGCAGUGGGGAAUAUUGCACAAUGGGGGAAACCCUGAUGCGGCAACGCCGCGUGAACGAUGAAGGCCUUCGGGUCGUAAAGUUCUGUUCUAGGUGAUGAAAACUGACAGUAACCUAGGAGAAAGCCCCGGCUAACUCCGUG
rnacentral:rRNA from 1 species